rnacentral:rRNA from 1 species
AUACGUAGGGGGCGAGCGUUGUCCGGAAUGACUGGGCGUAAAGGGCGUGUAGGCGGUUGUCUAAGUCUGGAGUGAAAGUCCUGCUUUCAAGGUGGGAAUAGCUUUGGAUACUGGAUGACUUGAGUGCGGAAGAGGUAAGUGGAAUUCCCAGUGUAGCGGUGAAAUGCGUAGAGAUUGGGAGGGACACCAGUGGCGAAGGCGACUUACUGGGCCGUAACUGACGCUGAGGCGCGAAAGCGUGGGGAGCGAACAGGAUUAGAUACCCUGGUAGUCCACGCGGUAAACGAUGAAUUCUAGGUGUUGCGGGUAUCGACCCCUGCAGUGCCGGAGUAAACACAAUAAGCAUUCCGCCUGGGGAGUACGGCCGCAAGGUUGAAACUCAAAUGAAUUGACGGGG